rnacentral:rRNA from 1 species
UACGGAGGUCCCAAGCGUUGUUCGGAUUCACUGGGCGUAAAGGGUGCGUAGGUGGUUGCGCAAGUCUGAUGUGAAAUCUCCGGGCUCAACCCGGAAAUGGCAUUGGAAACUGCGUGGCUAGAGGGUUGGAGGGGGGACUGGAAUACUUGGUGUAGCAGUGAAAUGCGUAGAUAUCAAGUGGAACACCAGUGGCGAAGGCGAGUCCCUGGACAACACCUGACACUGAGGCACGAAAGCUAGGGGAGCAAACAGG